CAAACAUUUUGUUCUUUUUUUUUUAGUUGCCUUUGAAUCACUUGAUUAUUUUGCUUACUGUUGAAACAUGGUUUUAAUUUUGUAAAUUUAAUAUGAUGUGAAAUUUACUUUAUUAAUCAUUAGUCAAUAGUUAGAGAGAAGCUGAAUCUUAAUUAAGCAAUGCUGGAAAUUAACUUUUAAUUCAGUUUGUUAUUUUCACUGGAUUUUAUUGCUAUGUGUUAUUGUUGUGAUGUUUUGUGUUGAUAGACAGCUUGGCUUACCUUCCCGUUGGCGUCUAUUGUU